rnacentral:lncRNA from 1 species
CGAACAGCCGAGCUGCAGGCGGAAGAGGGUGGAGGCUUCUUCUCCCUAGGUGCGAGACGAGUUCGAGUCGUCCAGAGACGUCCCGAGCGGUGUAGGAGGCGGCCUAGGCCUUCAGUGCUGCCCCCACGCCAGGCUGCCCGUGCCCCGUGGACGAGGCCGCUCCCACGCCGGGCUGCCCGUGCCCCGUGGACGAGGCCGCUCCCACGCCGGGCUGCCCGUGCCCCGUGGACGAAGCCGCUCCCACGCCGGGCUGCCCGUGCCCCGUGGACGAGGCCGCUCCCACGCCGGGCUGCCCGUGCCCCGUGGACGAGGCCGCUCCCACGCCGGGCUGCCCGUGCCCUGUGGACGAAGCCGCUCCCACGCCGGGCUGCCCGUGCCCCGUGGACGAGGCCGCUCCCACGCCGGGCUGCCCGUGCCCCGUGGACGAGGCCGCUCCCACGCCGGGCUGCCCGUGCCCUGUGGACGAAGCCGCUCCCACGCCGGGCUGCCCGUGCCCCGUGGACGAGGCCGUCCUCGGCGAAUGCCCAGGAGCAGCUCCGCCUGCCCGGUGACGGCUUCACGCCCGCGGCCUCUGCAGUGUGUGCGUGGCGGCGGGGUCUUGUCCCGGGACUGGUUGCUCAGGGAGGGAGUGGGGAAGCCGCGGAAGCUCCCUGCGGGCAGGAGGGGCCGGAGCCGGGAGUCCCGGUGGUCCUUCGCCCAGUGUGCCGUAGGGGUCGUCUUGGAUUUCCUGGAGGGGCGGCAUUUCCGAGAAUUCCAGAAUUUGUCCAAGUCAGCUUUUUCCUCCAACCCUGCCUCAGGCCUCGCCAGGGACCCGGCCCCUCCCGUCGUUCUGCUCUGCCUCCUUAGCACCUGCGUCCAUCCUCAGACCCGUGGUCCAAAGUGGCUGCAAGAGCUCCAGCCAUCCUUUCUCCAUUUCAGGUGGUGGAAAGGAAGCCAAGUUAAGCAGACUUUUUUUUUUUUUUUAAAGAUUGAUUUAUUUAUUUGAGAGGGAGAGAAAGGGAGAGAGAGAGGCCUUCCAUCCACUGGUUCACUCCCCAAAUGACUGCAACGGCUGGAGCUGCGCCGAUCCGAAGCCAGGAGCCAGGAGCUUCUUCUGGGUCUCCCAUGUGGGUGCAGGGACCCAAGGACUUGGGCCAUCUUCUACUGCUUUCCCAGGCUAUAGCAGAGAGCUGGAUUGGAAGUGGAGCAGCCAGGACUUGAACCAGUGCCCACAUGGGAUGCUGGCACUGCAGGUGGAGGCUUAGCCCCCCGCACCACAGCCCGGCCCCUCUCUGCCUCUGCCUCGUGUGGACGCAGCGGCUGUCUCACGUGGAUCACGUGGGUCNNNNNNNNNNNNNN